ACUCCGUAGUGUGCACUUGGUGAGGGCAGCAGCUCGCCACAGCUGCCAGCCGUCUGUCCAUUCACCCAUCUGUCCAUCUGGCAGCCCGCUGUUCAGACCCGUCUGUCUGUCCGCCCAUCUGUAAGCCCAUCUCUGUCCCAUUGUCUAUCUGACCAUCUUUCUCUUACUGUCCUCUUUGUCUAGCUAUCUGGCCUAUCUGUCGAUCCAUCUUCGUGUCUGUCUUCAGCCCCCACCUGUUUGUCCAUCUGUCCAAUUACCUGUGAGUCUAUCUAUGCACCUUCUUGUCCAUUCAUCUGCCCACCCAUCUGUCCCUCCGUCUGCCCACCGGCCUCCCCUCUCCUUCUGGGCCGCAGAGCCAUGGCCCAGGACUGCAGAGCCAUGGUUGGCCUGGUCCUGCUGGGGCUGGGGCUUGUGCUGGCUGUCAUUGUGCUGGCUGUGGUCCUCUCUCGACACCAGGCCCCAUUUGACCCCCGGCCUUUGCCCACGCCGCUGUUGCUGCUGACUCCAAGGUCUGCUCGGAUAUUGGACGCUGGACCCGCAGGCCCUGCAGGACAGAGACUGGCAGCGCGCCGUCAUCGCCAUGAAUGGGAUCGAAGUAAAGCUCUCGGUCAAGUUCAACAGCAGGGAGUUCAGCUUGAAGAGGAUGCCGUCCCGAAAACAGACAGGGGUCUUCGGAGUCAAGAUUGCUGUGGUCACCAAGAGAGAGAGGUCCAAGGUGCCCUACAUCAUGCGCCAGUGCGUGGAGGAGAUCGAGCGCCGAGGCAUGGAGGAGAUAACAAGGACGUGUCGGUGAUGAUGAGCGAGAUGGACGUGAACGCCAUCGCAGGCACGCUGAAGCUGUACUUCCGUGAGCUGCCCGAGCCCCUCUUCACUGACGAGUUCUACCCCAACUUCGCAGAGGGCAUCGGGUGGCAGAGAAGGAGGCGGUCAAUAAGGUGUCCCUGCACAACCUCGCCACUGUCUUUGGCCCCACGCUGCUCCGGCCCUCCGAGAAGGAGAGCAAGCUCCCUGCCAACCCCAGCCAGCCUGUCACCAUGACUGACAGCAGGUCCUUGGAGGUCAUGUCUCAGGGUCCCAGGGCUGGUGGUUGCUUUGGGUCUACAGCUACGUCUUACCCGCCUCCUGCCUCAACAGCCUGUGUGGUGGCAAAGCCGGUGUGGGGCUGGGGAACGCAGCGUUCUCCAGGAGGGGACCCGGCUCUCCUUCUGCAGUGCAGGCGAAGGCCUAGAUGCCAGUGUGACCUCCCACAAGGCGUGGCUUCCAGACUCCCCGGCCGGAAGUGAUGCUUUUUUGCCGCGGGCCCUGGGUUUGAAGCAGCCUGGCUUUCUCUUGGUAAGUGGCUGGUGUCUUAGCAGCUGCAAUCUGAGCUCAGCCACCUACACACCACCGUGGCCGACACUUUCAUUAAAAAGUUUCCUGAGACGA